UACGUAGGGUGCAAGCGUUAAUCGGAAUUACUGGGCGUAAAGCGUGCGCAGGCGGUUAUGUAAGACAGAUGUGAAAUGCCCGGGCUUAACCUGGGAACUGCAUCUGUGACUGUAUAGCUAGAGUACGGUAGAGGGGGAUGGAAUUCCGCGUGUAGCAGUGAAAUGCGUAGAUAUGCGGAGGAACACCGAUGGCGAAGGCAAUCCCCUGGACCUGUACUGACGCUCAUGCACGAAAGCGUGGGGAGCAAACAGG
rnacentral:rRNA from 1 species